rnacentral:rRNA from 1 species
UACGAAGGGGGCUAGCGUUGCUCGGAAUUACUGGGCGUAAAGCGCACGUAGGCGGCUUUCUAAGUCGGGGGUGAAAUCUUGGAGCUCAACUCCAGAACUGCCUUCGAUACUGGAGAGCUUGAGUCCGGGAGAGGUGAGUGGAACUGCGAGUGUAGAGGUGAAAUUCGUAGAUAUUCGCAAGAACACCAGUGGCGAAGGCGGCUCACUGGCCCGGUACUGACGCUGAGGUGCGAAAGCUAGGGGAGCAAACGGG